UUCCCAGGUGAUGCUGAGGCCGCUAGUUCUGGGAGCACUUUUUGAGAAAAGGAGUGAAGAAGUGGUUGGUCCAAAGGGUAAAGAGAUGAGCCAAAGUCCUUAGGUUGAGAGUAACAAGCGCCUGCUGUAAGGAGCCAUAGGGCUAACUGGACCGGAGUGCUGGGCCUCCCAGAGGCGGGCCACACCAGCUUCAGUAACAGCGCAUCUCUCCAUAAAACGCCACCCCUGAGUUAAUGAAAAGAGCACUAAAACAACAGUGGCCCCACAAAGGCAAGCCCUGGUGUGAGAGUCGUUAGCACCCACGGUCUGCAGAUGAGGAGCCUGGACUUGGAGUAGAGAAGAGAACCAGCUAGUCCAAGCGCACAGAGCCAAUGGGGGGGCUGCCCCCGGCCCAGCCCCUCACCACCUGACUGCAGACCCACACAGACUCCAGCACAGCCUGACCGCUUGCAAAAAGGCUAUGAAAGCUGUGUCCAAAAUCAACUUCCACAAAUGAAGUCCAGUAAUAAAUAGAAGAGAAGGACUGGUGAAGAGAAGGGGCAAGGAUGGGGAAGGAGGAGAGGGAAAGUCACCACACGGAAGAACGAAGCCAGGGUGAGGGAUUGCACUAGGGCCCGACAACCGAGCCUGAGGCAUCCUGGUAAGUCAGGCCAAGGACACAAGAGGGUGGCAAGGUCUCACCCGGGACAGCUCAAUCCACUUUGUCAGAAAAGA
ensembl:lncRNA